rnacentral:rRNA from 1 species
AACGAACGCUGGCGGCGCGUCUUACGCAUGCAAGUCGAACGGCAAGAGAGGAGCUUGCUUCUCUCCUAGAGUGGCGGACUGGUGAGGAACACGUGGGUAAUCUACCCUUAAGAUGGGGAUAGCUGCUAGAAAUAGCAGGUAAUACCGAAUACACUCGGCAUAUCACAAGAGGUGUUGAGGAAAGGAAGCUACGGCUUCGCUUGAGGAUGAGCUUGCGUCCCAUUAGCUAGUUGGUGAGGUAAAGGCCCACCAAGGCGACGAUGGGUAUCCGGCCUGAGAGGGUGAACGGACACAUUGGGACUGAGAUACGGCCCAAACUCCUACGGGAGGCAGCAGCUAAGAAUAUUCCGCAAUGGACGGAAGUCUGACGGAGCGACGCCGCGUGGAUGAAGAAGGCUGAAAAGUUGUAAAAUCCUUUUGUUGAUGAAGAAGAAGGGUGAGAGGGAAUGCUCAUCUGAUGACGGUAAUCGACGAAUAAGCCCCGGCUAAUUACGUG